CAAUUCAUAAUUCCUGAGUUCUUUAAUUACUUUUAUUUACAUUCAAGUUAUUUAUUGGAUUCCCGCUUGCAUCAAAUGCUCUAGUCUUUAUAACGCUAGAGUAGUAAUUAAUAGAUUAGACGUGGUGUUUAGUCUUGCGAUUACCUGGAAUUGCACCCAAUCCUGCGGAUUGUUGUGGUAGCCUUAGGGUAGUGACAGCCCUAACGGUCGACGUAUUCCACCAUGUUCGGAUCGGUGUUUGUAGGACCGUAGUCAGACCU
rnacentral:lncRNA from 1 species